GGGGUGUAGCUCAGUGGCAGAGUGCACACCUUGAAUGUGGAAGACCCUGGGUUUGAUCCCAGUCAUUCCA
rnacentral:tRNA from 1 species